rnacentral:rRNA from 1 species
CCUACGGGAGGCAGCAGUGGGGAAUAUUGCACAAUGGGGGAAACCCUGAUGCAGCGACGCCGCGUGAGUGAAGAAGUCAUUCGUUAUGUAAAGCCCUAUCAGCAGGGAAGAAAAUGACGGUACCUGAGUAAUAAUCCCCGGCUAACUACGUGCCAGCAGCCGCGGUCAUACGUAGGGGGCAAGCGUUAUCCGGGUUUACUGGGUGUAAAGGGAGCGUAGACGGCAGUGCAAGUCUGGAGUGAAAGGCGGGGGCUCAACCCCCGGACUGCACUGGAAACUGGACGGCUGGAGUGCAGGAGUGGUAAGUGGAAUUCCUAGUGUAGCGGUGAAAUGCGUAGAUAUUAGGAGGAACACCAGUGGCGAAGGCGACUUACUGGACUGUAACUGACGUUGAGGCUCGAAAGCGUGGGGAGCAAACAGGAUUAGAUACCCUUGUAGUC